rnacentral:rRNA from 1 species
UCGGGAAUUUUGGGCAAUGGGGGAAACCCUGACCCAGCAACGCCGCGUGAAGGAUGAAGUAUUUCGGUAUGUAAACUUCGAAAGAAUAGGAAGAAUAAAUGACGGUACUAUUUAUAAGGUCCGGCUAACUACGUGCCAGCAGCCGCGGUAAUACGUAGGGUGCAGGCGUUAAUCGGAAUUACUGGGCGUAAAGCGUGCGCAGGUGGCUCCUUAAGUCAGAUGUGAAAUCCCCGGGNUUAACCUGGGAACUGCGUUUGAAACUGAGGAGCUAGAGUGUGGAAGAGGGGGUGGAAUUCCAGGUGUAGCAGUGAAAUGCGUAGAGAUCUGGAGGAACACCGAUGGCGAAGGCAGCCCCCUGGGCUAACACUGACACUCAUGCACGAAAGCGUGGGGAGCAAACAGGAUUAGAUACCCUAGUAGUCCCUGAGCGGGCUGGCAAGGCGCAU